rnacentral:lncRNA from 1 species
GCCCCCCUCUGAGCAGAUGAGGAUCACGGAUCAGAGCCCCAACUUCAGAGCUCCUUAUGGUCGAGAAGAAACUAGUCAGCAGCAAUUCCAGUCCUUUGGCUCCGGGCGAAACCGAGCAAGACCCAGCCUCGUGUCGUCGGGGAGGAACCAACGCAGGCCCCGCCCCAACCAUUGUCUCGGGGAAGCCAAUGGGCGAAACGCUCGUAACUAACCAAUCAGGACGCGGUAUGCAAAUAGACACGCGAGAGCAGUCCUCUACGGUGGUGUAGAACUGAAGAGAGAGGAGGCAAGCAGCGGGCCUGGCUACUUGCACCAUGGCCCGCUGCCGCCACCACUCGGGAUACCUGGCGGAUGACGAGGCUGGCCACAGCACGUACAUGGCGCGGGUACCACCACCCAAGAAGCCACUGUUGCCAGAAAUGGGACCAGCCUUCAAGCUGGGUCGUGUGCCACACCCCCCAUCAGUGGAUGGCAAUUCAGCACACCGGGGCCGCUGCCAAACCCCGAAGAGACCUCAGCCUUUUGGCGGCUUCCUAGAUUUCCUGACAGAGGGCCAAGUACUGGACAGUCUGCAGACAGUGGUGGAAGAAGCAACUGAACGCAUAGCCACCAUGAAGACAGAGGCUGGGGUGCCGCUGGUGGAGGUGCAGGACUCUGUAGAAGUGCCAAGUGGAAAGCGGCAGGGCCGGGACAGUGACCUAGGCCACCGAGGCUUAGGCACACUGCCACCCAUGAAAAACAGACUCCUGCUGGAGAAAAACCUCAAGCGGCUGCUACAGCUGGAGAACAAAGGGAAAGGCUGGAGUCAGUCCUGUUCCCAGAGGGACUCCCUGCUGUGGAACUCACUAGGCAGCCAGACCGGCAGCCACUGGACCCAGGAGCAGCCCCUGUCCUGGUUCUCAGGGCUGCUGGGCUCCAGCUCAGGGACCCCUGAAGCAUCAGAGCUGGGGCCUGGAGAACGGGAGCUGAUUUUCCUCAAAGAAAAGUUCAACAAGAAGUCCUUGCUGAGCCAGCCAGCGCCAUUUAACCUGCCCGGCUACUGUGCUGUCCGUGAGCCCCACCGUACCCUGGACUUCCUGGCCAAGCACCAUCUCUUCCCUGCUCUGCAGGGCGUGGUCAGCCAGGCUUCAGACAAACUCAGGGCAGCCCACUGCCAUGAUGGCUUCCCUCUCUUCCCCACCAACUCCCAGCUCACCUCAGCAGAGCUGCCAGCCACGCUCACUCAGGGGAAGGAGACUUGUGAUGCCAACAGCAAGUUACCUCACAAAGGACUGAACUCCCCUUCUGUGUCUAAUGCCCAAGAGGCCAACAGAGUCAAGCUCAAGAACUCCAGCGCAAAGAAGCUGCCACCUUCCGCCUCAUCCAAGUCCAGUGUGUCCCACCUGUCCAACCCCUGUUUUGAGGAGAUCAUCAACUUCUUAGUGGAGCAGGCAGUGUCCUUGCUCACUCUCAAGUACAAGUAUGAGAGCAACCUCAAUAAGCAGCUUGGCUUCAUCUCCUUCCCUGUCACCGAGGCUCUCAUGGACCUCUUCCUGGGCUUCAAGAAGGUGAAGGGCUCCCGCAUAGUUCUGUCCUCGGAGAUGGACUGGAGCUGCCUGCUGCGUAAGCUGCAGGAGGCCGAGAAGGCUCUGCAGGUCUCAAAGCAGGCCACCCAGGCGCACGGCUCCCAGGGCAGCAGCAGCUCCUCGAAGGCUGGCUCCCACCGGGUUCCCACCUCCCUGCAGGGAGUCUCCCAGCACAGCACAAAGUCUCCAUCCACUGAGCCUAUGCCAGCGACCAGAAGCAACCAGGAACAGGCCGCAGAGCGUGGCCUCUCUCUCACUGCUGACACACCAACCCACCAGCUGCUCAGCCCUUGGGAGUCAAUUACAGCCGAGAAUCAGGCCCCCAAAAGCCUGUCACAGCCCACGCCCUUCAUGUCCUCUGACCCGGACAUGGGCUCCAAUCUCCCCAAGUCCAACAAGAUGAUGAACACUGAGGACAAAGAGAGUAAUGCUGUGGCUGAGGACAAGGGUAGCAAGGAGGACAAAGCUGGGGGCAUGGAUUCCUACAAGGAUGAGAGGAAUCACCAGGACCACUUGGAGCCUGGACAGGAGGCCAUGAGCAGACCCUCUGUGGACCAGGGCCAUAGUGAUCCCCCAUGA